rnacentral:rRNA from 1 species
GACGAACGCUGGCGGCGUGCUUAACACAUGCAAGUCGAACGGAAAGGCCUGCUUUCCCUUGUGGAUUGCGGGUACUCGAGUGGCGAACGGGUGAGUAACACGUGAGUGAUCUGCCCCCAACUUGGGUAUAAGCCUGGGAAACUGGGUCUAAUUCCCGAUAGGACUGCAGGGUGGUGCCUGUGUGGAAAACGAUUUUCUAGUGGUUGGGGAUGAGCUCGCGGCCUAUCAGCUUGUUGGUGGGGUAAUGGCCUACCAAGGCGGCGACGGGUAGCCGGCCUGAGAGGGUGGACGGCCACAUUGGGACUGAGAUACGGCCCAGACUCCUACGGGAGGCAGCAGUGGGGAAUAUUGCACAAUGGGCGGAAGCCUGAUGCAGCGACGCCGCGUGGGGGAUGACGGCCUUCGGGUUGUAAACCCCUUUCGACCGCGAGGAAGCCACCUGGUUGGAAGGGUGGUGACGGUAGUGGUAGAAGAAGCACCGGCUAACUACGUG